UCCCUUACGUUGUGGCAAGCUUCGGGGCCACUUCCUGGAGUUAUUCCAUUACUAGUCGGGCACAUUUAAUUAAAGCGUGUUUUAAAAGAAAGUUUGUUUUUAAAAUAUUACUUGUUUUUUUCCUUCUUUCUCCGCCCUCCGCCGUUUUGCUUUGGAGUGCGACUCGCCCACACGCAACAUCAAACAUCGCGAUUGGCCAUUCGCGAAGUCUCCUCGCCAAGCCCAGCCGCUCACAGUUCCCCACCUCGGCACCACCCCCACCACCACCAACUACCCACCACCACCAACACCACCAACUACCCACCACCACCAACUACCCACCACCACCAACACCACCAACUACCCACCACCACCAACUACCCACCACCACCAACUACCCACCACCACCAACACCACCAACUACCCACCACCACCAACUACCCACCAACACCACCACCAACUACCCACCAACACCACCACCAACUACCCACCACCACCACCAACUACCCACCACUACCCACCACCCCCAACAACCCACCACCACCAACACCACCAACUACCCACCACCCCCACCACCAACUACCCACCACUACCCACCACCAACUACCCACCACCAUCACCGACCCACCGACACCACCACACCGACCCACCACCACCACCCACACCGCCACCACCACCACCGCCACCACCACCGACCCACCAACACCACCAACCUCACCGGGGGUUGUGUUUAGGGGAGGGUCGGGCAGCGACGCUGGUGAUUGAUGGACAGCGACAACUGCCCGUAGCGCGGUGAGGAGUCACCUCCGGGGAGAGAAGCUAAGGGCGAGGAAGGGUCUCGAAGGCGGCAAUAUGGACACGUUCCCGCUCAUCAUCUACAUCUUGGCGGCCAAGAGUAUCCUGCUGUGCCUGGGAUUCAUGUGGGCGAAGCGCUACCAGGCGAGGCGCCUCGAGAGGCUGGCGGUGCAGGCGGCGCAGGCGGCCCAGGCGCGCCGCGAGGCCGAGAGGGAGAAGGCGGACGGCGCGGGAGAGGCGAGUCGAGCGGCCGGGCUGAAGGAGGAUUGAGGCCCGAGCCCCUCCCCAGCCCCUCCCGUGUGUUCUCCCAACCACAGACUGAAACCCGACUCGCCUCUGCUGCGCGCGUGAGGGGCGGCCAUCGCUGGGGCGAGCGUGAGAUGUGGCUCCUGUCCAUCCGAGCCUCUGGCGCAGAAACGCGGACAGCCGUGCCAUGGAGAUGCGGGGACGGUGGCAGUGGCGGUGGUGGCGGUGGCGGCAGGUUGCGGAGACUAUUUCCUUCCGUUCUUGAAGACGCUUCAUUCGGAACGUACGGUCGUCGUCAUCAGCCGUGAUCUAUCCCCUGCUGGAUGGAGGCUCCCCAGGCCGUCGCCACCCCCCCCCCUCCCACGUGGUCCUGCGGUGUCACGAUCAAUAUCGCCGCUGCACGUGAACCGAAGUCAUCGCUCCAUCUCCACUCUGGGCGUCCUCUUGGGGGCACUUUCCCUUCAGCGGCUGCCAGUCCAUCCGCACCAUCGACCGUCGUCUCUUCCCCGCGAUGGCGUGUCCAGCCCGAGCCAACUUCCUGUCCUGAAGGCAUCGCGACGUCUCCGACUUGCGUGUGGCCCUCAGUGUUUCUAUCUCGGUGUAAUUUUCGAGCAUAAACCUCGCCAUGA